rnacentral:rRNA from 1 species
CAGCCGCCGCGGUAAUACGAAGGGGGCUAGCGUUGCUCGGAAUGACUGGGCGUAAAGGGCGCGUAGGCGGCGAUCAAAGUCAGGCGUGAAAUUCCUGGGCUCAACCUGGGGGCUGCGCUUGAUACUUGGUUGCUUGAGUGGGGAAGAGGGUCGUGGAAUUCCCAGUGUAGAGGUGAAAUUCGUAGAUAUUGGGAAGAACACCGGUGGCGAAGGCGGCGACCUGGUCCUUGACUGACGCUGAGACGCGAAAGCGUGGGGAGCAAACAGGAUUAGAUACCCCCGUAGUCCCUGUCUCUUAUAC